rnacentral:rRNA from 1 species
GACGAACCGUGCAAACGUUAUUCGGAAUCACUGGGCAUAAAGGGCGCGUAGGCGGCUCCAAAAGUCAGGGGUGAAAUCCGGCAGCUUAACUGUCGCAGUGCCUUUGAUACUGUGGAGCUAGAGGGAUGUAGGGGUCUGUGGAACUUCCGGUGGAGCGGUGAAAUGCGUUGAUAUCGGAAGGAACGCCGGUGGCGAAAGCGACGGACUGGACAUUUUCUGACGCUGAGGCGCGAAAGCCAGGGGAGCAAACGGGA